GUCCAGAGGGGGAGAGGGGAAUGCGGAAGCAGAGGAGGUGUAAGACCCCCUUUAGGGGACCCCCCACUCUAGUCUGGGGAGUGAGAGAGCACCCAAAGAUACAUGAGAAUCC
rnacentral:pre_miRNA from 7 species